rnacentral:lncRNA from 1 species
UUUGGAGAGUUAUUGUGGGGGCAGGGCUGGGAGGAUGGGUGGGGACAGGACUGAAUACCUACAUUAUGAGAAGAUGACACGAAACGUCUCAAAUGGGAUAUUCAGAAAGUUAAACUGCCUCUAUAACAACGUUCAAUAAAUAUAAAAGCAGAAAAUGGGGGUUAAACAUAUCAUAAAGCAUGCAAUGAUGAGUUCACUUUAGAAACUGUAUGUUUGUCAAUGUGGCUUGAAGGGAAACACAAGAAAUGAAAGUAGCUAUAUUCUUGGAGGAUAGUGGGUCCCACAGGACUGUCAUACUCAGGAGACACAACUGUUGAAACAGUGGACAAUGCAACUUCUGCUUUCUUUGCAAUCUCUUUGGAUUGUACACCGAGUGUGUUCUGAUGUUAUGGAAUCA